rnacentral:sRNA from 1 species
GGGGCAGCGAAGGGGACGCCCCAAGUAGGAGGAAUCCUACUUGGGCGCCUCCCAAUUCGCCCCCCCCCGUCGAUAUUCAUCUGGAGGGGGAAGGAGGGAGGAGGGAGGAGAGAAGGAAGGGGGAGGACGAAUCCCUCCCCUUCCUUU